rnacentral:rRNA from 1 species
AGCGAACGCUGGCGGCAUGCUUAACACAUGCAAGUCGCACGGUCGGGGUAACCCGACAGUGGCGGACGGGUGAGUAACGCGUAGGUAUCUAUCUCCGGGGUGGGGGACGAACGUAGUGGGAAACGUAACAGCUAAUACCGCAUGACACCCGACGGGUCGAAAGCAGCGAUGCGCCUGGAGAGGAGCCUGCGUACGAUUAGCUUGUUGGCGGGGGUAAGUGGCCC